CUGGUGUGUACCUUCUCCAAGUGGGUUGGAUUUGUGACAGCCUGAACCAGGCAUCUACUUGUGAAUUGGUGUGGAAAUCACGGGCGUGUACAGAUGUACUAGAGGACCUGAGGCUUCUUGCUUCCAACUUCCUCAUGUGUAGCCCUCAUCUGAUCUGGUUGCCACCUUCACAUUCUUCAGCUAGGGUUUCCUGCCUGGCAUAUGGUGUCCUGUGUAUUGACUUUGUGUGUGGACUCAACUUCAGCAGGAUUCCCAGGUAGAUCAACAGAUUCUUAUCCUGGACUCCAAUGAGCCCUGGCAGAGCUCUUCUUGAUGUCAUCUUAAGCAGCAGCACAACCUCCUGGUCUUCUUGCAACCUUCAUCUUUAAACACCAAAGGCAGACCAGAAACUUCCUCAGGACAAUGACCUGUAG